AUGCCGGGCAGCAUCCGAGUCUCAGCGUCGCUGCUGCGUCUCGUCAAAAAGAAAAAGAGAUCAUACUGCUCUAUCUUUUGCUGUGCAGACAUUCAGCCACCCGUCGCCGCGCCACUCUUCUUCCAAGUUAACCUGGGAAAAAAAGAGUACAGCGGAUACAUAGGACAUGAUGGCCUCUCUUUUCCAGUUACAUCGCUUCGUGAUAGCAUGGUGUUGUCGCUGUACGAUGCAGAUAAGGAAUUGGUAUCCAAAACAGAAGUGAAGACACGGUCGAUAGUCGAGCUGGGGAGUACGGAUGUUGUGUUUAGCCUUGAUAGUGGAGGGCAAAUUGUUCUCCAGUUGCAGUUCUUGCUCAGUGGUGAAGAUCGCAAGCGCAUCCAAGAAAUGAGGAACUCUGCAAUGAAAAGAAAGCAGCAAGAGCUGUUUGGGAAUGGCGACGAACUUUUUUUUCCAAGACAGCACACCACCUAA
rnacentral:rRNA from 1 species